GUGAGGGGGAGGAGAGGAGGAGAUGGAGGCCUGGGAGCCCGUCCUGCUGCCCUGAUUCUCCACCUUCAGACGGUCAUUCUCUGCCUUCAGCUUCUCGAUCUCCAUCUGCAGAAACACACAAAUGCACAGAUGAAACCUGCAUGCGGUUCAUGGCCUCCCGGAGCUGGUCCAGCUGAUGAGCAGAGCUGAGAGCCUCCAGGCGGAUAUCAGAUAAGACAGAGCUCCCAGUCCUGCAACUAUGAGGUGAUGAGGUCUACGUACAGUGAGUUGGAGUGCGUGUUCCUUAGCAUGUGGCUGGAGGCUGCGGUGCCGU